rnacentral:rRNA from 1 species
AGUGAACGCUGGCGGUAGGCCUAACACAUGCAAGUCGAACGGCAGCACAGUAAGAGCUUGCUCUUACGGGUGGCGAGUGGCGGACGGGUGAGGAAUACAUCGGAAUCUACUUUUUCGUGGGGGAUAACGUAGGGAAACUUACGCUAAUACCGCAUACGACCUACGGGUGAAAGCAGGGGAUCUUCGGACCUUGCGCGAUUGAAUGAGCCGAUGUCGGAUUAGCUAGUUGGCGGGGUAAAGGCCCACCAAGGCGACGAUCCGUAGCUGGUCUGAGAGGAUGAUCAGCCACACUGGAACUGAGACACGGUCCAGACGCCUACGGGAGGCAGCAGUGGGGAAUAUUGGACAAUGGGCGCAAGCCUGAUCCAGCCAGACCGCGUGGGUGAAGAAGGCCUUCGGGUUGUAAAGCCCUUUUGUUGGGAAAGAAAAGCAGCAGGUUAAUACCCCGCUGUUCGGACGGUACCCAAAGAAUAAGCACCGGCUAACUGCGU